GGUGAACGCUGGCGGCGUGCCUAAGACAUGCAAGUCGAGCGGGCCGCGGGGUUUUACUCCGUGGUCAGCGGCGGACGGGUGAGUAACGCGUGGGUGACCUACCCGGAAGAGGGGGACAACCCGGGGAAACUCGGGCUAAUCCCCCAUGUGGACCCGCCCCUUGGGGUGUGUCCAAAGGGCUUUGCCCGCUUCCGGAUGGGCCCGCGUCCCAUCAGCUAGUUGGUGGGGUAAUGGCCCACCAAGGCGACGACGGGUAGCCGGCCUGAGAGGGUGGCCGGCCACAGGGCACUGAGACACGGGCCCCACUCCUACGGGAGGCAGCAGUUAGGAAUCUUCCGCAAUGGGCGCAAGCCUGACGGAGCGACGCCGCUUGGAGGAAGAAGCCCUUCGGGGUGUAAACUCCUGAACCCGGGACGAAACCCCCGACGAGGGGACUGACGGUACCGGGGUAAUAGCGCCGGCCAACUCCGUG
rnacentral:rRNA from 1 species